GUAGGCGCGGUGGUGGCUCAGGGAGCGAGCGACAGCGGCGGCGCAGGCGGAGGGGGUGGCUCCCCCUCCCUGUCUGUCCCCUUCUCCCGGCGGCAGCUCCUCCAUGAGGGCGCCCAGGGCCGGCGGCGGGUUCCCCUGAGGAGCGCUGGGCGGGGCCUGGCGCUCGUCUCCCGCUCCCCCGCGCGCGGGCCUGGCGGCUGCGGCAGGUGCAACGUUUGAAACAUGAACAGCAAUACGCGUUACCAGUUUUCAAAGCUGGAACACAGUUGUCUGCGACGUUUCCAAGCUAAUCUUUCCGCAAGGCAUUUGUAAAUCCUUUGUAAUGGCCCACAAGAAAGAACCUCCUUUUUUCAAUGAUGAUAACGUGGGACCGUUUCACUACAAACUUCCUUUUUAUGAAACUAUGGAGCUCUUUAUUGAGACGCUUACAGGAACGUGCUUUGAGCUGCGAGUGGCUCCCUUUGAAACAGUGAUUUCCGUGAAAGCUAAAAUUCAAAGAUUGGAAGGUAUUCCUGUCUCUCAGCAGCACUUAAUUUGGAAUAAUGUGGAGUUGGAGGAUGACUAUUGCUUGAAUGAUUACAACAUUUCAGAAGGUUGCACUUUGAAGCUGGUACUGGCUAUGCGAGGUGGGCCUAUUAACACUAGAAGAGUUCCUGUGGAAGAUCCUGUUAGGGAAAUGGCUGAAUACAUGGACCCCAGUCGAGAUGAGGUCUGGGAGAAGGGGCCAUCCAACAAACAAGUUACCUUCUUGGUGUACCGGGAAGGAGAUCAGUUGAAUUUCUUCCGUGUUGUAGACAGGGGGGAUGGCACUUUAACACCAUUAUCUGAAUCUUUAAGUGGUGGUUCAGUUUAUAACUUAUACGCAGAUGAAGACGAAGAAACAGAGGCAUCUCCUUCUGGCCAACAGAUUAUUGAGAACUCGAUUACUAUGAAUAAAAUGAAGCUGCUCAAGGCAAAGAUGGAGAACAUGAAUCUCAGUAAAAAGCCUAAGAAGACUGUCAAGGUAAAACCUCGUCCACCUAUAACUCCUCGACCGUCUAGCAGUUCAGCAGCAGUUGCUCGUCACCGGUUUUUAAGAGUACUUCCCCACAUUGGACAGUCCUGCCUACCUCCUCCUGGGAAUUUGUAUCCCUCGGAGUCUUCCCAGAAUGCACUUUCAGCUUUGGCUACUUUGGCCACUGCUGGUAGAACAAUGCCAUCCAUUACUAGUGACUUUCUUAAGGAAGAUGACAAUUGGGAGAGCACCUCCCGGUCUCAGUCAGUUAAUAGCAUUCGACUACCACCGAAAAUAUCUCGUGUCGAACUAGAAAAUGCAAAACUACCUACAAAUAACUUCCUUCCCCCUGUCCCAUCACUACCUACAAAUUCCAAAAAAGCUUUAGAAAAUGUGACAUCCACAAAUGAGGACGAUCCUGUCUUGUAUCCACAUCUAACAAACGUAGAACUGUGUGCAACAGAAGACAAGCUUCUACCUGAAACAGAUGCUUUUGCUUUGUUAGCAGAAGCAAACACUGCUGAACAGUAUAGUGAGUUAUAUGGAAUAGGGAAGGUAAACCCAGAGCUUGGACUGUCUGAGGGGGAUGAGGAAUCUAAGGCUGUAGAACAGCAUAGCAAACCCAUUACAAAUAUCUUGAACGCUACAACAAUGGAGACUGGGCUUCUCAACACUCGUGAACUAAGUCCUCCGAAGAACACACUCUUGUCACCUCUUCGGUAUUCAGCCCAAAUGGCACAUCACAGUUCUCUGAAACCACAGACACAACCCAAAUGCUUUGAGGUCAGUAACUUGAGACCUGCUGCCUCCCCAAAUCUGCUCCGAUCUUUGGAGGUCCGUAAUUUGGCAGACUCCUCUUUUCCAAGGACUACAAGAUUUCAUGGUGUGAAGGUAGACUCACCUGGCAAAAGACCUGAUAUAAUUUCUAAAAUAGAGGCUAGGGACAUCACAGAGAUGGCAAACAAGGCAUCCAAAGAACCUGUGGGUUCUGUAAAUAACUUAGAAUUUCUAGCUUCGCUGGCCCGAAGCACAAGCAGGGAAAGUUUACAGAAUUCCUGCGGGACAGGCAGGUUUCGGACUUCUGGUAUUGCACUACCUACGAACCUCCAGCGUUUUCAGGAAGAAAGCUUUAGGAAAGCCUCUCCCCCAGAUGAAGCUGCUGAAUACUUCCUAUCUGCCCAUGGGCUUGGAAUGAAUGGAAAUGUUGCAGCUACAGGGAAAAGAGUAGGUAAGUAAUGUGAAUUUGUUUAAAGAGCUGAAGUUGACUGUUUAAGUCUCUUCCCAGUUAUCAAACACACCCAGAGCAAGAAUUAUACCUUUGUGUAGGGCAUAAAGCUUUGAAACGCUUUCUCUGUACUAGAUUUUUACAGAAUGGAUUAAACCUGAAUAUUUUGAGUUGUGCUUUCAUACAUGGAUCUCAUUCUGGCCUUGGGUAGAAUUUGGGACCCAGGAGAGUAUUCCUGGCUCUGUCACUGCCCUGUUGGAUGACCUUGGGCAAGCCACUGCCUCUCCAUGCCUCAGUUUCCCCAUCAGUAAAAUGGGGGUAAUGAUACUGCCCUUUUUAAAGCACUUUCCAUCAGUGCUAUAAAAGAGCGUGGACGUGGUGGUGUAGUUGUGUUUUAGCUGCAUUAUUUUUGUUGUUCACUGAGCGCCCAAGGGUGUUCUGCAUCAUCCACAAAAAUACACGUUCUCUGCACUGAGGUUUAUACUGUAAAGGGGAUGAUCCUGCAAACAGUUAUGCACCUAUUAAAGUCAGUGGGACUACUCACAUAGCGAAGAGUUUCAGAGUAGCAGCCGUGUUAGUCUGUAUUCGCAAAAAGAAAAGGAGUACUUGUGGCACCUUAGAGACUAACAAAUUUGUUAGAGCAUAAGCUUUCGUGAGCUACAGCUCAUUUCAUCAGGAAUGCAUCCGAUGAAGUGAGCUGUAGCUCACGAAAGCUUAUGCUCUAAUAAAUUUGUUAGUCUCUAAGGUGCCACAAGUACUCCUUUUCGUUUCACAUAGUGAAGUUACUCUUAUGUGUGCAGGACUGGGUCCUGAAAGACCUUGCAAUAGGAAACAUGGAGCAGGUGAGGGCAGGGUGGGAGUUGAGGGUUACAGGUAAGGUCCUGAGUUUGGUUUAUUAUUAGAGCACACUACUUGUGUUAGUGGGGAGUUGUGAAUGUGCAAUACCUGCUAAAAAUCAAGCCACAUGUUUAAUGCCUAUAUGUGGAUUUAGGUCCCAACUUUGGGGAUCCAAGCUUGAAAAUCUUGAUCUAUAUUUCUAAUUUAAUAAAAUAAGUUCUUACCUGUUGCUGCCAUCUUGUUCCUGUACGCUUCCUAAUGCCUAGCUGCCAUGUUUUCCUUGCCAAUACACACUUUUCUUAGGGCAGGUCUACACUUAAAACGCUGCAGCGGUGCAACUAAAUCACUUCAGUGAAGAUGCUACUAAGCCGACAGGAGAGCUUCUCCCGUUGGCAUAAUUAAUCCACCUUCCCAAGAGGUGGUAGCCAUGUUGACAGGAGAAGUAUAAUGCUGACUACACCGGGGGUUAGGUUGGUAUAAAUAUGUUGCUCAGGGGUAUGGCUUUUUCACACCCCAAGCAACAUGGUUAAACCGAUGUAAGUUUGUAGUGUAGACCUGGUCUUAAAAAAAUUGUCUGUUUGCUUUGUUUCAUCCCACUUUUUUUUGUUUUUACAUAACUCUUACCAUUGUUCGUUAAGAUUUGUUUAUUGCAGCAUUUUGUAUUUAAAUUGUAGCCUACUUUCUACUUAACACUGCCAAUAAUUUAUAUAAUGUUUGCCUAAAGAUAGUUUUAACAUUAAUAGCUUAGUUGACGCACACUUCAUUUAGAGUUAUAUACUCAAGAAUUUCAAGUGAGCAGGACAGAUUUUAAUGCACUGUACUUGUAAAUGAUUCAGACUUUUACAUAGGUAUAUCUUCUUUUACAUGCAUGUACAGUUGUACGUAUUGUGGUAAGAUCUUAGUGUUCAGAAUAUCAUUGUAACUUGCAAGUGUUUUAUAUUUGGAUAUCCAACAGCAUUAGAUAUUCUUUAAGGGGAGUAUUAAUCUCUGGACAAGUUCCCAUGAAUAACAUUCUUAUUUUUGGUUCCAUUUUGAAUAUUAGUAUAUUUUGAUAAUCUGAAUGUUAAACAGUCAUUGGUGUGUGAUUAAAACUCAGUUGUAUGUAAGCAGAUGUUUCUCUGAACAAUUUUUGUAGUUCCAUUAUUAGAGAACAAGAACAGUGUGCACCUAGCCUAGUUCAGCAUAUGGAAGUAGCUCUGCUGUAUGAAACAAGUCUAGCUAUUUAUUAGGGACAGAGGUAGAAGGAUACUGCUACUAGCUACUGUUGCUUUAAGCACUGAUUGCUCCAGCACAUGGCCUGAUAAGACCUCACCAGAUCUUUUGUCUCUGUGAAACUUUUUCCUUAAAGAGUCAGUUAUGCAUCUCAGGGAGUGUGUUGCAGAGUAAGCCCUAUAGUGAUGAAUACCAUUCUUUCUCACAGUCCUGGAGAUAAGCUUCUUGGCUAUAUUUAAUUCCUUAUUCAAGGAAAGUAUCAAUGUGUUCAUUUUGUCUUCAGAUUAGCUUUAAUAGUUAUUUUUGUAUUGGCUCAGUAAACUCAAGAGUUUUUUCAUCUUUUUAAAACUCUUAAAUCUUUCUCAAUAGCAGGUGCCUGGGAAGGCCUCGACUGGCUUCAAGCCUUGCAUAGCUUUCUGGUGCAAGCAAGACAUCUUGGGUAGUUAGGACUGUUGUUUUGGGGUUGGAUAGAAUAUCUCUAGUUUUUCUAACUUUCAGAGCCUGCAGGCAAUCCCUAAACCUGCAUGCAAGUCCAAAGAACUCAUUCACAACAGCAGUGACUCUUUUUUACUUAGGAAUUAAGAAAUCAGUUGAGCAUGAUUGACUCUUUUCCUUUUUUGCUUUACACCCUUCACAGUUGUCCUACAGUCUUUUCCUCCACCUAGCAUGACUUUGGAAAAAGUGAUGAGCAAUAAGAUCUAAGAUAUGUUUGUGAUGAAUCAGCUAGAAGAUCUUGUUCCUCACAAGGGAAUCCUAUUAUUUUCACAGUUACAACUGCUGAUGACCUAUGAGCAGAGGCAGUGGACACUGUCUUCUUUCCACUGCUGGUAUCAUUGUUGGUUAAUCCAAAGCUACAUUAAUGUCAGUCUGUGUCCUUAGCACCAAUCUCCAGUCUAAAGGGGGUAUGUGUGCACUAUAAUGGUAUUCGCCAGGGUCAAGGAAGCUAUUGCUUAUGUAGUCCACUCCAAAAAGUGAGUUGGGGGUGAGUGUUUUGUAGUACUUGGUACUAUUUUCUUCCCUUCUCCUCUGCGAUCGUGUACAGCCGAUAAGGGUAAGUGGGAUAUUAAGGUUUCUCCUCCUUCUGGACUUAUUACAUGGCUAUAUAUACAUGCUUGCCAUGCUUGCACUGUCAAAGCUUGUUUGUUUUUUUGUUGCACCACUCUUGGUGCUGUUAUCUGUGCCAGAAUAAUGCAUUUGACUGGAAGGGCCUUAUAAAUAAAAUAUAUCAGGUUUUCUUUAGUUGGGGGAGGGGUAUAUGGUAGACUUUGUACAUGUAGGUCAUAUAACUUUGCGAGAACGCUAGCUGACUCUGUUACUCUUGAAACAUCCAUCAUAUGAGAUGUGUAUACUGUAUUGUAAUCUCCAGCUGCUAUUGGUUGCCAAGUAGCUUGACUUCUGGUAUGUUUGUCUUUUUAACUCUGCAAACAAUCUUGUUUGCAAACUGCUUGGGUAUAUUUAAUAGGCUCUUACACAGUUUUCUCCUUCAUCUGCUUUGAAGCAUUUUGAGUGGUUCAAAGUGGCAGCAUUUGAAUAAUCAGAUGAAAUGCAAUUGAAUGCACUUGGAAGAUCAGAUCUAAGCAGUCUUAUCAGAGACUGGCAGGGUAACAUUUAUUACCAGACAUUUAUUUUUCAAGCAUUUGUGGCAAAGCAUGGUGAACCAUAUUCUCAGGAGGUAUAAACUAGCAACACUGUCUUAAAUAGAGCUAUGCCAAUUUACACCAGCAGAGGGUCUAGCCUGAUGCACGGUAUGCCAGUGGUUUUCAGCCUGUGGUCCGUGGAUCCCUGCUGGUUCGCAGACUCAGAUUUCCAAAGGGGUCCGCACUUCCAUUCAAAAUUUUGUAGGGGUCUGCAAAUGAAAAAAGGUUGAAAACCACUGUUAUGCCAACAAACAGCAUGUCUUGCAAACAGUUCGAGACAUCUGAAAAGAAGAGUCUGGUGUUGCACUGUGCAGAGCCUUGGGAGAUUUCCUAGGAAACCAAUUGCUAAUGGUCUCCUGCAGUGUGCUGAAAACUUCACUCUUCAGUGGCUGAUGUUACAGUAAAUUUGUCAGCCAGGUGAAUUGCCUUGGAAAGAGCAAGACAGUAUUGAAAACAGCAAUUCCCAAACUAUACUCUGCAAAUCACGAGUGGUCCGUGGAGGGCUGGCUAGUCACAUGGUGAUGGCUUCUCUCAUUUCCAGCUCCCGUACCACAUUAAAGACAGCUAACUAUGAGCUAAAAGCUUCCCUAAUAUUAUUUCUCCAUGUAAGCAAUUGCUGUAUGAGCAGCAAGGAUAUUAUUUGAUUGCAGAUGGGAGGGCAUUUGUCCAUGAGGCAGUCUCUUUUUUGGGGAGUUAUUUUGGGGCAGUUCUCUGGCCUGUGCUAUAGAGAUGAUAACAGUGGCCCUUCUGGCCUUGGGAUCUAUGAAUCUGUGUGGUCCACAGUAGGAAAAAUACUUCUAAACCCACCCUGUUGUAUAAACACUUAAUAUUAUAUACUGCUCUCAACACCAUUCCCAAACUGGGCUAACUGAAACCCCCUGAUAAGUGUCUGGGGACAAAACCGGCUCCCCAAAAUGGCUCCAGUAAAUUGAGCACAGUUUUAGAGGAUGAAACUGAUGGUGUGAACUAGCUAGAUCUAGAAAUAAGUCUUCCAUGCCAAGCAGCCAUAGCUUCAGUGGGACAAACUCAGCCCUUGUAUAAGCAGGCACAACUCCCAGUCACGCACUGAGAGCUGUCAGCUUAGCUUAGGGCUGAAUUUGGUCCGCUGCCAGUUACAUCUGAAAAGGACUGGCUACUGGAAACUAAGAUGUGCCGUACAUAAAGUACUUAUGUACUGAUGGCUUGUGCUGUGAGCAUCCAGAUACUAUGGUGAUGAGUGCAGUAGAAAUGCAUUUAUAAUCCUCUGUAUAGGUUGGUAUUUUCCUCUCCUGGUUGCUAACCAUCACUUGCCACAUAGCAUCAUACAGUAGGUGUGCAUGGACAAGGUGAUUGACUAAAGCGUUAACUUGCAAUAUGCCUGCAAAACUUUAAAAUGUUAACAUAGCCAGACACCUGUUAUAUUGUGAUAUUUAAAUCUGAGUUUACUUGCUGGUGCAUAUGCGCUAUACUGGGUACAUCCUAAUAGUCCACUGAUUCCACUGGAAAGUCAUCAGUGGUCAAGGCAUUCUGUUCCAGUCACAAAAUAAAAACACAGACAGUGCAACAGGGAGACAGGCUUGGAGCUGCACCGCUUGGUUCUGCCCUUCAUUAAGGUAAACGUAGACCAGUUGCGUAACCUCUCUUGUAUGUCAGGACCCACAACCUACCUCCCCUUUCCUAAGAUGCUGUGAGGCUUAACUGAUGCUUGUAAAAUAGACUGGGAGCCCCAUGUGAAAGGUGCUAUGUAAAGGCAAAGUAUGUUCUCUGGCUGUGGGAUUAGUUGAAUAUCAUCUCUUGAAAUACAAGUGUUUAACAGCAAACGUAACUAUACAAUAUGUUCAUUACAUGUUUUACCUUUGAAAGCAGGUGAAGCAACCCAUCUCCCACCUGUGAAUGGUUCAAUGC